ACGGCAGCACGGAGCUUGCUCUGGUGGCGAGUGGCGAACGGGUGAGUAAUAUAUCGGAACGUACCCAAGAGUGGGGGAUAACGUAGCGAAAGUUACGCUAAUACCGCAUACGAUCUAUGGAUGAAAGUGGGGGAUCGCAAGACCUCAUGCUCCUGGAGCGGCCGAUAUCUGAUUAGCUAGUUGGUGGGGUAAAGGCCCACCAAGGCAACGAUCAGUAGCUGGUCUGAGAGGACGACCAGCCACACUGGAACUGAGACACGGUCCAGACUCCUAC
rnacentral:rRNA from 1 species